rnacentral:rRNA from 1 species
UACGUAGGGUGCUAGCGUUGUCCGGAUUUAUUGGGCGUAAAGGGCUCGUAGGCGGCGUGUCGCGUCGGGAGUGAAAGCCCGCUGCUUAACGGCGGGUUGGCUUCCGGUACGGGCAUCGCUGGAGUGCGGCAGGGGAGACUGGAAUUCCCGGUGUAGCGGUGAAAUGCGCAGAUAUCGGGAAGAACACCCGUGGCGAAGGCGGCUCUCUGGGACGGUACUGACGCUGAGACGCGAAAGCGUGGGAGCGAACAGG